rnacentral:rRNA from 1 species
UACGGGGGGGGCAAGCGUUGUUCGGAAUUACUGGGCGUAAAGGGCUCGUAGGCGGUUUGUCGCGUCGGGAGUGAAAGCCCACUGCUUAACGGUGGGUCUGCUUCCGGUACGGGCGGGCUAGAGUAUGGCAGGGGAGACUGGAAUUCCUGGUGUAGCGGUGGAAUGCGCAGAUAUCAGGAGGAACACCGGUGGCGAAGGCGGAUCUCUGGGCCAUUACUGACGCUGAGGUGCGAAAGCGUGGGGAGCAAACAGG